GCCGGGAUAGCUCAGUUGGUAGAGCAGAGGACUGAAAUU
rnacentral:tRNA from 8 species